CAAAACAAAACAAAACAAAACAAAACAAGACGAGGAUGGUGAAGUUAGCAUCCGCGAGGGAGUUCCGCACGUACGGGCCGGGCCUGGCGAAAAAUCGGUACGAGUACAUAAACGCGGGGCUGUAUCUGAUAGGGUCCGUCCUGCUGGUUUGCGGCAUGGUGGCUCAGCUUUGGCCCGAAGCCCGAUUGGGCCUCCUCCUUGCCAUGAGCGCUUUGGCCAUCCUCCUCCUCGUCAACCUCCACGACCUCUUCGCCCAUCUCGCGGGCAUCGAUUUCCGCUUACCCUUGAUGGCCUUCGACCUUCAACUCGCCUUCGUCGAGUUCGCCGUCCCCAUCAUUCACAUCCUCGGAUCGCUCCUUGCCUUCCUUGCCGUCUUCUUCCUUUUCAUUCAGGAAGAGAAAGGACAUGGCUACUUCAAACUUGAGAAACAUGCUCUCAACAUGCUGCUUUCGGGUACUGUCUUGUGGGUGAUUGGGUCAAUUCAUAAUUCAUGCCAGAUUUACGAGAGAGCCGAUGGCCAUGUUCAAAUCUUGCAGCAGUGUGUGUACAUUCCCUUUUUGAUGGGGAGUUUGUCCUUCAUGCUUGCUGCAAUUCUCAAUUACCACCACCAAUCUAGUGAGAUCCACCAUGUCAUUCAUUUACUUGGUAGGACUUGGAUCUGGCUAGGAAUAUUAGGAAGCCUGAUGUUCUUUAUUGGGGGAUUGACAAACUUAAUAAAAGUGUUCAAGAUGCAACAAAUGAAUGGAAUAAGGCUGGAGAAACUGCGAGGUGGAGCACACGAGCGAUUGGCAAGUGCGAGAGAAGGACAGGUUCCACUCAUAAUGGAACAUCAUCAUCAAACCAUAAGCCAUCAUCAACCUCCAGAGACCAAAGUUACUUUACCUCCUCUUCCUACUCCUUAUAAGGAUGUCCUUGUUGGUCAGACUGGAUCAUGAUUCCUGCUCUCCUUUCUGCUCCCACUUUUGUUUUACAGGGAAGCCUUUUUCUUAUUAUAUUGUUAUUAUAUACAGAAACUUCUUGAGGCCGUAGAUACAUAGCAACUGAGAUUCAUGUUUCUAAACAAUAACUGAUCUGGUCACCGACCUAGCCGCGAAGAAAUUGUUAGACAGUACAAUAUCACCAAAUUAUGU